CCUACGUGAGGCAGCAGUGGGGAAUAUUGCACAAUGGGGGAAACCCUGAUGGAGCAACGCCGCGUGGGUGAAGAAGGUCUUCGGAUCGUAAAACCCUGUUGUUAGAGAAGAAAGUGCGUGAGAGUAACUGUUCACGUUUCGACGGUAUCUAACCAGAAAGCCACGGCUAACUACGUGCCAGCAGCCGCGGUAAUACGUAGGUGGCAAGCGUUAUCCGGAUUUAUUGGGCGUAAAGGGAACGCAGGCGGUCUUUUAAGUCUGAUGUGAAAGCCUUCGGCUUAACCGGAGUAGUGCAUUGGAAACUGGGAGACUUGAGGGCAGAAGAGGAGAGUGGAACUCCAGGUGUAGCGGUGAAAUGCGUAGAUAUAUGGAAGAACACCAGUGGCGAAAGCGGCUCUCUGGUCUGUAACUGACGCUGAGGUUCGAAAGCGUGGGUAGCAAACAGGAUUAGAUACCCUGGUAGUC
rnacentral:rRNA from 1 species